rnacentral:rRNA from 1 species
GAUGAACGCUGGCGGCGUGCCUAAUACAUGCAAGUCGAGCGAACAGACGAGGAGCUUGCUCCUUUGACGUUAGCGGCGGACGGGUGAGUAACACGUGGGUAACCUACCUAUAAGACUGGGAUAACUUCGGGAAACCGGAGCUAAUACCGGAUAAUAUUUAGAACCGCAUGGUUCGAUAGUGAAAGAUGGCUCUGCUAUCACUUAUAGAUGGACCUGCGCCGUAUUAGCUAGUUGGUAAGGUAACGGCUUACCAAGGCAACGAUACGUAGCCGACCUGAGAGGGUGAUCGGCCACACUGGAACUGAGACACGGUCCAGACUCCUACGGGAGGCAGCAGUAGGGAAUCUUCCGCAAUGGGCGAAAGCCUGACGGAGCAACGCCGCGUGAGUGAUGAAGGUCUUCGGAUCGUAAAACUCUGUUAUUAGGGAAGAACAAACGUGUAAGUAACUGUGCACGUCUUGACGGUACCUAAUCAGAAAGCCACGGCUAACUACGUG